AACGAACGCUGGCGGUGCGCCUAACACAUGCAAGUCGAGCGCGAAAGUCCCUUCGGGGGCGAGUAGAGCGGCGGACGGGUGAGUAAUACAUGGGUAAUCUACCCCCGAGCUUGGGAUAACCCCGCGAAAGCGGGGCUAAUACCUGAUAAGACCACAUAACACAAGUUGUGCGGUAAAAGGUGGCUUGAAUUUAUUCUAGCUAUCACUUGAGGAUGAGUCCAUGGCCUAUCAGCUUGUUGGUGAGGUAAGAGCUUACCAAGGCUAUGACGGGUAGCUGGUCUGAGAGGACGACCAGCCACACUGGGACUGAGACACGGCCCAGACUCCUACGGGAGGCAGCAGUGGGGAAUAUUGGGCAAUGGGCGAAAGCCUGACCCAGCGACACCGCGUGGGUGAUGAAAGCCUUCGGGUUGUAAAGCCCUUUCGUGCGGAAGAACUGUUCCGCGGUUAAUACCCGCGGAAUUUGACGGUACCGCAGGAAGAAGCACCGGCUAACUCCGUGCCAGCAGCCGCGGUAAA
rnacentral:rRNA from 1 species